UUCAGUGGAAGGGACUUGCAACCCUUUUCAUACGGCUUGGAUGGAUCAUUUGGUCUAAAAGGAAAAGGAAUUAAAAGCUGACAAAAUCAUUGCUUUCUUGCUCAAAUCAUCACGGGCAUUGGAAGGCAUAAGAGUGGUUCACUUGAAUGGUUAUGUGGAGAACUUUGAACAUCCUGUUUCAGUUAGCCAAGUCACUGGCAAGCCUGCAAAGCACUUCGUAUGCACCCCAUCUCAGCUUCUAUCCACCACCACUGGCUCCAAACUACUAAAGCCCGAUGCCCAACUUGAACUAGGCAAAAUCUAUUUAUUGCUACCAUUCUCAGCAUUACAAGCUGAGGUUUCCCCUAUGGACUUGGCCUGUGUAGUGAAGAAGCUAACCGCGGUAGCAAAAACUAGCCGGUGUGAGGCUAAAUCUCUCCGAGAUAGUCCCUUGAUGAGUCCAUAUGGCUCAACCCCUGUAUUGAAUUCACCAUCUAGAAGUCCUAACCGGUUUGUGGCGCCAGAGGCAGCCAUGGCACCUUCCGAUGCGCAGAGAUCAUCUAGAGCUCGGUCAUGGAAGCCUAUAUUGAACACCAUUAGAGAGAAGUCGUUCAAUCGUGGAAGUGAAUCAGAUUUGCAAGAAAAGCAUUCGGAGAUGGUCCAAAUCCCAAUAGCUUGAGUUUGAGGUAGGUGGUGUGCUUGAUGCAUAAAAAUAUCAAAAGGAAGGAAUAGGGGUUAGGAGAUAUUGGCAGAGAUGUAAUAGGUGUUGAUUAUAAGUGAAAUUGUGUUACUUUGUGAUUUAGCUUCAUUGAUCUUAAAAUAGUGUAUCAGCAUAAAAUGUGAAUUUGGAAUUCAGUACAGUUUUUAUAAGUAUAUGAGUUCAUAUUAAACUUUUAAAUCGUACAAUUUUCAGAAA